GCCCAGCAGCUAGCCCACUAAUAAACUCAACAUCUACUUAUUUAUAAACCCUAACACACUAACACCAAUAACCAAACCAUUUUUCCCCCUAAGUAUGGGCGACAGAAAAGGAAUUUAGGAGCAACAGAAAAAGUACCGCAAGGGAAUGCUGAAAGAGAAAUGAAACAACUCAGUAAAGCUAAGAAAAGCAGAGCUCUUAUCUC
rnacentral:rRNA from 1 species